CAGCAGCCGCGGUAAUACGAAGGGGGCUAGCGUUGCUCGGAAUGACUGGGCGUAAAGGGCGCGUAGGCGGAUUGUUUAGUUAGGCGUGAAAUUCCUGGGCUUAACCUGGGGACUGCGCUUAAUACAGGCAGUCUAGAGUGAGGAAGAGGGUUGUGGAAUUCCCAGUGUAGAGGUGAAAUUCGUAGAUGUGGAGGAAUACCGAUGGCGAAGGCAGCCCCCUGGGCCAAUACUGACGCUCAUGCACGAAAGCGUGGGGAGCAAACAGGAUUAGAUACCCGCGUAGUCCCUGUCUCUUAUACAC
rnacentral:rRNA from 1 species